rnacentral:rRNA from 1 species
AAAUCCGGGAGCAGACCAACAGGGAUUGCUCUAGUAACGGCGAGUGAAGCAGCAAUAGCUCAAAUUUGAAAUCUGGCGUCUUCGACGUCCGAGUUGUAAUUUGUAGAGGAUGCUUCUGAGUAACCACCGACCUAAGUUCCUUGGAACAGGACGUCAUAGAGGGUGAGAAUCCCGUAUGCGGUCGGAAAGGUGCUCUAUACGUAGCUCCUUCGACGAGUCGAGUUGUUUGGGAAUGCAGCUCUAAAUGGGAGGUAAAUUUCUUCUAAAGCUAAAUAUUGGCCAGAGACCGAUAGCGCACAAGUAGAGUGAUCGAAAGAUGAAAAGCACUUUGGAAAGAGAGUUAAAAAGCACGUGAAAUUGUUAAAAGGGAAGGGAUUGCAACCAGACUUGCUCGCGGUGUUCCGCCGGUCUUCUGACCGGUCUACUCGCCGCGUUGCAGGCCAGCAUCGUCUGGUGCCGCUGGAUAAGACUUGAGGAAUGUAGCUCCCUCGGGAGUGUUAUAGCCUCUUGUGAUGCAGCGAGCGCCGGGCGAGGUCCGCGCUUCGGCUAGGAUGCUGGCGUAAUGGUCGUAAUCCGCCCGUCUUGAAACACGGACCAAGGAGUCUAACAUCUAUGCGAGUGUUCGGGUGUCAAACCCCUACGCGUAAUGAAAGUGAACGGAGGUGAGAACCGCAAGGUGCAUCAUCGACCGAUCCUGAUGUCUUCGGAUGGAUUUGAGUAAGAGCAUAGCUGUUGGGACCCGAAAGAUGGUGAACUAUGCCUGAAUAGGGUGAAGCCAGAGGAAACUCUGGUGGAGGCUCGCAGCGGUUCUGACGUGCAAAUCGAUCGUCAAAUUUGGGUAUAGGGGCGAAAGACUAAUCGAAUCAUCUAGUAGCUGCUCUGCGAGUUCUCCCCUCUCAGGAAUAACGCUCAAUGUUCGAUAGUCUUCGCCCCUAUACCAACUUGACGAUCGAAUUGCACGUCGAUCGCUUGGCGAGUCUUCCACAAGUUCCUGGGACUUUAACCUAAAUUCAGGCAAGCUCAACUUAUCGGCUCAGGCAAUUGUCCUUUACACAAAUCUCGAAGACACUAGCUAGCCUCGCUAGUA